rnacentral:rRNA from 1 species
AUUUCUAGAAACACUUUCCAGUACCUCUACUUUGUUACGACUUAUUCCAAUUUAUUUAUGAAAGCGACGGGCAAUAUGUACAUAUUUUAAUUUUCAAUCAUUUUAUUAUAUUAAAUAAAAUUACAUUUAAAUCCACCUUCAAUUAAUUUUUUCAAAUUAAUAUUCAUUUAAAUAAAUUUAUUGUAAUCCAUUAUAUUCUUAAUUAUAAUCUGCAUCUUGAUCUGAUUUAAUUUUUUAUAUUAAUUUUUAAAUAUUAUUUUUAUUAAAAAAUAUUUUUUUAACAACGAUAUACAAAAUUAUAAAUUAAGUAAAUUUAAUCGUGGAUUAUCAAUUAUUAAACAGAUUCCUCUAAAUGAACUAAAAUACCGCCAAAUUAUUUAAGUUUCAAUAAAUAAUUAUUUACUAUUUUAGUAUUUUAAUUUAAUUUUUUUAUAAUAGGGUAUCUAUCCCUUAGUUAAAAAUAAAAUUUAUUAAAUUAUAAUUUAUAAAUUAAUUUUAAUUAAAUUAAAAUUUCACCUAAUAAUUUAAUAUUUAAUAAAAUUUAUAUUUUAAUAAUUAAUAACUAAUAAAAUUUAUUUUAAUUUUUGUAUAACCGCAACUGCUGGCACAAAAUUUGUUAUUAAUUUAAAUAUUACUAAAUCUUAAUUUCUUAAAUUUUUAAUAUUAAUUACUACUUUUAUAAAAUUAAUUAUUAUUUAAAUAAUUAAAAAUUUAUACAAAAAUUCAUAUGUAAAAUAAAUUUUAAAUAAAUUUUAUAAACUAUAAAAAAUUUAUUAUUA